CCACAUAAUUACUCCACGUGCCCUUCUGACACGCUAAUCAAGGCCCUAAGCCUUAAUAGAAAUUUUGGGACGUUACAAAUUGCAUCCAUAUAGGAAGCAGAGCAUGAUGACAUGGAUUAUAUUCAUGAGUACUAUAAAAAAAAAUUUGAGAACUCUUAUAAGAGUGUUAUUGAGCCUAUGCCAAGUCCUGACUUCUGCCUAGGAUAGGGCUAAAUCUCAUCCACCCACCAUUUGAAAAAAAUCUGCUUGGGAGACCCAAAAAGCCUAGAAGAAGAGAGGCUAAGAAACCUCCACCAAGUUCAACAAAGAAUAGAAGAUUUGGAUAAGAGCACAAUAGUGGAAAUUGUGGACAAAAGGGUCAUAUUGCUGGGAAAUAUGGUAUCUAUUUAGAAGAAAAGAGGUAGGCUACCAUCCACCAAUCCCACGAAACAGGCCAAAAAAAAGUAAAGAGAGUUUGAGGAAACAUAAGGAAAGUUAGAAUGGUGGGAGUUAGCAGUCAAGGAGGUUAUAAUACUAGGUCUACACAUGUAGAUGGUGAAAAUGUGUAGAGAUACAAGACAUCUCAAGAAAAUUGGUGGACUUCUGAAGAAUUUUUUUUUAACCAACCUAUCUAUUUUGAAUGUUGAAUGAUUAUGGUUGUAUUUUGAGCUAAACUUUGUUGUUGUAUAUAAAUUAUGUUCACCUUUUGGAUGCUGGUAUUUUGAAACAAACUUUGAUGUUGUAGUAUUUUCAAUUAGAACUUUGUUGAUAUUAUUUAGGAUGUUGGCAAGAUCAAAUGGAAAGUAUUGCAUUUAGCUUAAGCCA